rnacentral:rRNA from 1 species
CACGUGGAUAACCUACCUAUAAGACUGGGAUAACUUCGGGAAACCGGAGCUAAUACCGGAUGAUAUUUUGAACCGCAUGGUUCAAAAGUGAAAGACGGUCUUGCUGUCACUUAUAGAUGGAUCCGCGCUGCAUUAGCUAGUUGGUAAGGUAACGGCUUACCAAGGCAACGAUGCAUAGCCGACCUGAGAGGGUGAUCGGCCACACUGGAACUGAGACACGGUCCAGACUCCUACGGGAGGCAGCAGUAGGGAAUCUUCCGCAAUGGGCGAAAGCCUGACGGAGCAACGCCGCGUGAGUGAUGAAGGUCUUCGGAUCGUAAAACUCUGUUAUUAGGGAAGAACAUAUGUGUAAGUAACUGUGCACAUCUUGACGGUACCUAAUCAGAAAGCCACGGCUAACUACGUGCCAGCAGCCGCGGUAAUACGUAGGUGGCAAGCGUUAUCCGGAAUUAUUGGGCGUAAAGCGCGCGUAGGCGGUUUUUUAAGUCUGAUGUGAAAGCCCACGGCUCAACCGUGGAGGGUCAUUGGAAACUGGAAAACUUGAGUGCAGAAGAGGAAAGUGGAAUUCCAUGUGUAGCGGUGAAAUGCGCAGAGAUAUGGAGGAACACCAGUGGCGAAGGCGACUUUCUGGUCUGUAA